ncrna:Lagothrix lagotricha (brown woolly monkey) microRNA lla-mir-16 precursor
GUCAGCAGUGCCUUAGCAGCACGUAAAUAUUGGCGCUAAGAUUCUAAAAUUAUCUCCAGUAUUAACUGUGCUGCUGAAGUAAGGUUGGC